rnacentral:lncRNA from 1 species
CUUAUCACUCUAGAGAGUCAGAGGAGGCUUCUGCUCCAAAUGAUGAGGCACAGAUCGAGGCUGUCAUUCAGGCGAGCUUGGCGAAUCAGUACCGACAGGAGGAGAUGGCCCAGUACAGAGAGCGAUUCGGACCAUUAUGCUACGAAUCAGGAUCUGGAUCAACGACUGGUGGGGGAGAAUUCGAGUUAAGGAGGACUACCUCAGUCAGAGAGCCUAG